UACGGAGGGGGCUAGCGUUGUUCGGAUUCAUUGGGCGUAAAGGGUGCGUAGGCGGCGAGGUAAGUCGGAUGUGAAAUCCCGGGGCUCAACCCCGGAACUGCAUUCGAUACUGCCUUGCUAGAGUACUGGAGAGGAGACUGGAAUUUACGGUGUAGCAGUGAAAUGCGUAGAUAUCGUAAGGAAGACCAGUGGCGAAGGCGAGUCUCUGGACAGUUACUGACGCUGAGGCACGAAGGCCAGGGGAGCAAACGGG
rnacentral:rRNA from 1 species